AACGAACGCUGGCGGCAGGCCUAACACAUGCAAGUCGAGCGAGGACUUCGGUCCUAGCGGCGGACGGGUGAGUAACGCGUGGGAACGUGCCCUUUGCUACGGAAUAGCCCCGGGAAACUGGGAGUAAUACCGUAUGUGCCCGAGAGGGGAAAGAUUUAUCGGCAAAGGAUCAGCCCGCAUUGGAUUAGGUAGUUGGUGGGGUAAUGGCCUACCAAGCCGACGAUCCAUAGCUGGUUUGAGAGGAUGAUCAGCCACACUGGGACUGAGACACGGCCCAGACUCCUACGGGAGGCAGCAGUGGGGAAUCUUAGACAAUGGGGGAAACCCUGAUCUAGCCAUGCCGCGUGAGCGAUGAAGGCCUUAGGGUUGUAAAGCUCUUUCAGUGGGGAAGAUAAUGACGGUACCCACAGAAGAAGCCCCGGCUAACUCCGUGCCAGCAGCCGCGGUAAUAC
rnacentral:rRNA from 1 species